GCUGUCUUCAACCAGAGCAACCCUCUUUUAAGAUGUUUUAUGUGUUUAUGUUUCCAGAGCCCGGUCAUUUUAUGGCCCUCGAGACUGGAAGUCAUGCCAAACAACUCAUUACCAAAAGAGCUAAGGUCCCAGCCUGCGCCGAAGAUUUAUGAGACCUCUCCUCAUCUGUGAACGGACCAGUGGCCGACUCUGGUGCCCAGGCUGUUGCUUCCCAGCCUGGUGGUGAAUCCUCCAUAGUCUGCCAACCCAAGCUACAGAGUUGAGAGAUGGAGAAGAACAGGAGGAAAAGGAGAGUGUUUUUGGCAAAAGAAAUGGCAUUCCCAAAGGCCCACACUGAAGAUAAAGCUUAGCAGUCCAGGCACUGAAAUUUCAGAGCAGCUGGGGUGUAGACAGUGAAAGAAAUUGAAAUGUUAAGGGAGUUAAUCUUCUACAAGUCCAGUCAUGUGCUUUCACAAAGGGCCAAGAAAGGAGUCCCAAAGCUCGCCAUGACUCAACAGGAAGCUCUUUGUGUCUUCCUUUCUACACCAUGUCUGACAAAGAAGCUGUCUUAAGUUCAUGGGCCUCUGUCUCUUGCGUGAAUUCUGAAGUCAGUGAAGCAACAAUGAUGUCAUUGCUUCUGAAGACCACUGUUGGCUGAGAUAAUGAAGAUCUCUUCACCCAAAACAUUGCCAUUUCUGCAGCAUACAUUUCCUACCCUUUCAAAUACAAAAGUAUUCUACCGAUUGAGGGGGGUGAUGUAUGUUUAUUUUUUGCAUUAUUCAAAAGAAGUCAUACUGAAGCAUGUUUCCCUCUCACCAAAACAUCUUCUAAAACUGAACUAGUAAAUACCACUACACUAAAAUAGUUGAUUCAUACACUUGAAAGGAAACCAAAAGUUAUGCUUUUGAAAUUAGAUAUAUUAUUCAAUUAAUAUUCUGAUACUAAAUGUCCAGUAGUUUCAUAGGCAACAUAUGGUAUGACGUGAAUAAAAUCCAUUUCUCACCCUUUUAGUCUCCAACAUAUACGCACAUUUGGCUUUUUUUUUUUUUGGAGAUGGAGUUUCACUCUUGUUGCCCAGGCUGAGUGCAGUGGCACGAUCUCGACUCACUGCAACCUCCGCCUCCUGGGUGCAAGCUAUUCUCCUGCCUCAGCCUCUGGAGUAGCUAGGAUUACAGGCAUGUGCCACUACACCUGGCUAAUUUUUGUAUUUUUAGUAGAGAUGGGGUUUCACCAUGUCGAUCAGGCUGGUCUCAAACUCCUGACCUCAGGUGAUCCACCUGCCUCGGCCUCCCAAAGUGCUGAGAUUACAGGUGGGAGCCCAGCUGCACAUAUGGCAAAAGCAAAUUAGAUUAUCUAAAGAAUAUCAAAUAGUUUAAAGGCAGUUAUUUCCACAAAUUUUAAAAAUGAUAGACUCCUUUGAAAACAACUCAAAUAUGGACAUAUUCAACUCAUAUAUCCAUAUAUGCAGUCUAGCAUGUAUAAGGACAAAAAAAGGCAAGGUUAAAAAAAUAAGUGUUUAGGCAAUUGGAAGUUCAGCAGAACCAAAAUAAUGAGUGUAUACUGGGGAGUGGCGUCCCUUAUGAAUAAUGAGAUAAAAUAGAUAAACUAUGGAAGUACCAGGCAAUGGAGGACAAAUAUAAAAAAUUUAUAUUUUAUCCAAUAGGGAGUUGGGAGCCACUAAACAUUUUUAGAUUAAUAAAUGACAAAGUAUUUCAGUUUACAACAAUGACUACAUCUUCAAUCAAAAGCAGCAAUCUCCAAAGCAGAGAUUGCAAACACAUACAACAACAUUUACUGGAGUAUGGGGAAAAAGAAUCUCUAUAGUUCUCUUUAUUACAGUCUUGAAAAUUUAUAGCUCCAUGAAAGUUCUACAAUACAUAGGAUGCAUGUUCCAUAAUGUAUAAAUGAUAGUAGUAUAUUUGUGUGUGUGUGUGUGUGUGCAUAUACACACGCAUGUGCUGUGGAUACAUGGUCCACAACAUUUGGUAACCUUCUAUCUCAAAAUGGAAUAGAGGGAGAUAGGUUUAGAAGCAGGAAAACAGUUUAGGAUACUGCUGCAGUAUUUGAAACAAAAAGUAUUAGGCUCUGAACGAAAGUGGAAACAACAGACCCUGGGCCAUUUUCUUGAGAGCUAUCUGGAUGUAAAAUUUGUGGGUACUGCUUACCAACUGGAUAAGGGUUGUGAAAAUCAGGAAGUUAACUGGGUGGAUGUUGGUUUCAUUUACUAAAACUGGAAUAUAAGAGGAAAGGAUAAAGAAGGAGUAGUCCAGAAACUGGUGGAGGGUUAGAAACAAACUCAAUGUUAGCCAGUCUGAGUCACAGGUAUCUGUGGAGGACCUUAAAGAGAGGUAAGGUAAGGAAAAAGCAAAUGUAACAGCACAGUUUUCUCAUCAAAGAUUUUAUUUAUUUUGCAAGUAAAUCAGAUAGGAGAAGCUAAAAAACAGAUUUCAAUGAAUUAAGAAUUAAAAACAUGAAGUAACAUAAUAACAUGGUAUAUGACAAAGUAUGAAAAUCAACAUAACUUGAUAUUUUAUAAGAACUAUAAAAUAUCAGGAAAAAAACUUUCAGAGAAAAAAAAGAAAUGAUGACACCCACACUGGAUAAUGAACACUAAGUGGAGGUGACAAGAAGACACUGCAGAUGCAGAAGGGAAUAUGACUAUAUUUACAGAAAGAACAAGCAGGGGAGACGAUGAGGAAGCCUAGCUAACUGCAUCCCACACUACAUCAGAGCAGGCAUCAUAUGCUCUCUUUUCCUUCCAUAAAGAUGGACACAUGACAUUACUUUUAAAGCACAUUAUGUUGGGGUAUUUAUAACUAUGAUGUAAUGACUUAAAUUUUAAAUAUUCUGCUUUCUGGAUUUACAAAAGUACUAAGUAAUAUAUAUAAAACAAAGAACCCUUAUUUUUGCUCCAUUUCUGAAUCUUAUACUCAGAGAUUAGGUAGGAGUCAGGGGAUAGCCUACGGAAUGCUGUUGCGCUUUUAUUUUAAAAUUUCUAAAAUUAAAAGUGAAAUGGUCAUAAUGAUCAUGAACAACCUCAAGUUAAAGCAGCCCCCAUAAAAAUGUCUGCCCUGAUUCUUAAAAUGGGCUCAGCCAAAUCCACUCCUUUUUCACAUUGGAGUUGACACAUUUCAUGCCCUCAUCACCUCUCACCUGGAUUAGUACUCCAGGGAAAAACACUCCAAGCUCUUUUCCCUGCCUCUACUCUCUCACUCCUCUCUAUACUCCAAGAGUGUAUUCUGCAUUCCACAUGAAUGGAAGACAGAUUUUCUAAAAUACAUAUUAUAGUACAUAACUUCUGUGAGUAUAUUUUUUUAAACUUGUAAAAUAGGGUUCUUCAUAAUCUGGCAUUAACCGUUCUUACCCGAGACAAAUAUAAGAAAAGUAUAUCAGCCGGGCGCAGUGGCUCACACCGUAAUCCUAGCACUUUGGGAGGCCGAGGUGGGUGGAUCAUGUAAGGUCAUGAGUUCGAGACCAGCCUGGCCAACAUGGUGAAACCUGUCUCUACCAAAAGUACAAUAAAUUAGCCAGGUGCCGUGGCGGGUGCUUGUAAUCCCAGCUACUCAGGAACCUAAGGCAGGAGAAUUGCUUGAACCAGGGAGGUGGAGGCUGCAGUGAGCUGAGAUUGCGCAACUGCAUUCCAGCCUGGGCGACAGGGUGAGACUCUAUUACACACACACACACACACACACACACACAAAGAAAGAAAAGUAUAUCAACUAUAGUUUUGGCUGUCGUAAGACAGGAAAAGGGGAGAGGAAAACAGGAGAGAAACUGUGAGCUGACUGCCCAUCUUGUGUAGGGCACCAUAUCAUUAGCAGCAUCUUGAGACACACAGAAGUUUAGUUUUAUAGAUGAGGCAGUGAUAUCUAAAGAGGCUUCCUAAAGUUCUGCAAGUGACAGAGCUGAUAAUUGCAGAGCUGUGAUUUGAACACAUGUCUUUCUGAUCACAAAACCUAUACUAGAGAAGACCAUGGAUAUUCAGUGAACAUACCUGAAGCUACAAAAAGAGCAUCCCUUGUAAACUAUGUAGGAUACAAUUUAAUGUAAAAAAAAAAUCACUACUGCAUUGUAGAAGAAGGAGACCCAAAACAACUGAUCAAAGAUAGUAAGGGAUAAGGAGCCUACACUGAGGUUAUCAGGAGACAAAAGAAAAUUUAAAGAAACAAUCUGCUAUGAAGUGUCAUCAUGAAGAGGACCAGGAAAAUAAGUCCUGAGAACAACAAUCUGUUGAAAUUUUUAGGUCUCUGCGGAAAACUAUUUAUAUAAAUUGCUGAGGAUGAGAGCCAUGUUGAGGGGGAGCUCUAUAACAGAUAAAGGGUGCAAAACAAAAAAUGUUCUUUAGAGAAAUGUGGUAACAAUGUUGAUAAAAUAAAAGUAUCUGCCAGGCGUGGUGGCUCACUUCUGUAAUCCCAGCACUUUGGGAGGCCAAGGCAGGUGGAUCACCUGAGGUCAGGAGGUCAAGACCAGCCUGGCCAACAUGGAGAAACCCCGUCUCUACUAAAAAUACAAAAAAUAAAUAAAUAAAUAAAAAUAGGUGGGCAUAGUAACGCACAACUGUAAUACCAGCUACUUGGGAGGCUGAGACAGGAGAAUUGCUUGAACCUGGGAAGCGGAGGUUGCAGUGAGCUGAGAUCGUGCCACUGCACUCCAGCCUGGGUGACAGAGUGAGACUCCAUCUAAAAUAAAUAAAUAAAUACAUACAUACAUAAAUAAAAGUAUCUACAAAGGAUGAAAGGACCCAAAUUCAACCAGAUAUUUAUGAAGACAAAGGACACUUUUAUCAUCUUGAAGACUCAUGCACAUCUUUAUGAAAGUUCAUAAGAUGAAAACAAAAGAGAAAGAAACGUGUGACACCAGUGACUAAGUAAGCAAGUUCUACAUCCUAAAUCUGGAGGACCCCACAAACUACCUCUUCUGUGCUAUGCAUCCCACUCCUGAGUCCCAUUCAACCCCUACCCUCCAACAGUGAAAAGAAUACAGCCCGGAGACUUCAUUACACAGUCUGGGUUUGAUAACCAGACAUCUAAGGUGAUAAGUGCAAUUUCAGAUUACCUUUCUUGUAAUUUUCAUCUACAAAUUGCAGAGAAUCUUUGACAGUACAGGCCUUCUUCUAUGUCACACUAGUUGUUCUACUUCAUUUUUCACCUUCCCUAAAAAUUUUAGUUGAGAGCUUUUUUGUUCAGUUUUAAAAGUACUUGCAAAGCUUUCACUUUAUUAUCUAAUUAAAAAUGUGGAGAAAAUGUUUAAGUUAUUUUUCUGGCCAUGCGUGAGCCAUCAGAAUCUGAGCACUUUGUGAGGCUUUGGUGGGAGGAUUGCUUGAGACCGGGAGUUUGAGACCAGC
rnacentral:lncRNA from 10 species